rnacentral:rRNA from 1 species
CAGUCGCCGCGGUAAUACGGAGGGUGCAAGCGUUAAUCGGAAUUACUGGGCGUAAAGCGUGCGUAGGCGGUUCGUUAAGUCUGUUGUGAAAGCCCCGGGCUCAACCUGGGAAUGGCAAUGGAUACUGGCGAGCUAGAGUGUGUCAGAGGAUGGUGGAAUUCCCGGUGUAGCGGUGAAAUCCGUAGAGAUCGGGAGGAACAUCAGUGGCGAAGGCGGCCAUCUGGGACAACACUGACGCUGAGGCACGAAAGCGUGGGGAGCAAACAGGAUUAGAUACCCCUGUAGUCCCUGUCUCUUAUAC